rnacentral:rRNA from 1 species
AUCUCCCCCAAGAGUUCACAUCGACGGGGAGGUUUGGCACCUCGAUGUCGGCUCAUCGCAUCCUGGGGCUGUAGUCGGUCCCAAGGGUUGGGCUGUUCGCCCAUUAAAGCGGUACGCGAGCUGGGUUCAGAACGUCGUGAGACAGUUCGGUCCCUAUCCGUCGUGGGCGUAGGAAAUUUGAGAGGAGCUGUCCUUAGUACGAGAGGACCGGGAUGGACAUACCUCUGGUGUACCAGUUGUCGUGCCAACGGCAUAGCUGGGUAGCUAUGUGUGGACGGGAUAAGUGCUGAAAGCAUCUAAGCAUGAAGCCCCCCUCAAGAUGAGAUUUCCCAACUUCGGUUAUAAGAUCCCUCAAAGAUGAUGAGGUUAAUAGGUUCGAGGUGGAAGCAUGGUGACAUGUGGAGCUGACGAAUACUAAUCGAUCGAAGACUUAAUCAAAA